AGAGUUUGAUCCUGGCUCAGGACGAACGCUGGCGGCGUGCCUAACACAUGCAAGUCGAACGGACGAGGAGGAGCUUGCUUCUCCAAGUCAGUGGCGGACGGGUGAGUAACGCGUGAGUAACCUGCCUUUCAGAGGGGGAUAACGUCUGGAAACGGACGCUAAUACCGCAUGACAUAUUUCCAUCGCAUGGUGGAGAUAUCAAAGGAGCAAUCCGCUGAAGGAUGGACUCGCGUCCGAUUAGAUAGUUGGCGGGGUAACGGCCCACCAAGUCGACGAUCGGUAGCCGGACUGAGAGGUUGAACGGCCACAUUGGGACUGAGACACGGCCCAGACUCCUACGGGAGGCAGCAGUGGGGGAUAUUGCACAAUGGGCGAAAGCCUGAUGCAGCAACGCCGCGUGAGGGAAGACGGUUUUCGGAUUGUAAACCUCUGUUCUAAGUGACGAACAAAUGACGGUAGCUUAGGAGAAAGCCCCGGCUAACUACGUGCCAGCAGCCGCGGUAAUACGUAGGGGGCAAGCGUUGUCCGGAAUUACUGGGUGUAAAGGGAGCGCAGGCGGAGAAGCAAGUCAGUGGUGAAAACGAUGGGCUUAACUCAUCGACUGCCAUUGAAACUGUUUCCCUUGAGUGAAGUAGAGGCAGGCGGAAUUCCGAGUGUAGCGGUGAAAUGCGUAGAUAUUCGGAGGAACACCAGUGGCGAAGGCGGCCUGCUGGGCUUUAACUGACGCUGAGGCUCGAAAGUGUGGGGAGCAAACAGGAUUAGAUACCCUGGUAGUCCACACUGUAAACGAUGA
rnacentral:rRNA from 1 species